CGCAGGAUAAGGGGAAGGGGGUGCCGGUUUACGUGAUGAUGCCGUUGGAUAGUGUGAACAUGGGGAAUGGAUUGAACAGGAGGAAGGCGAUGAGUGCGAGUUUACAGGCUUUGAAGAGUGCGGGAGUGGAGGGGAUAAUGAUGGAUGUGUGGUGGGGAUUGGUGGAGAGAGAUGAGCCUGGGGUGUAUAAUUGGGGUGGUUAUCAGGACUUGUUGGAAUUGGC
rnacentral:lncRNA from 1 species